rnacentral:rRNA from 1 species
UGGGGAAUUUUGCACAAUGGGGGAAACCCUGAUGCAGCGACGCCGCGUGAUUUAGAAGGCCUUCGGGUUGUAAAAAUCUUUUUUAUGGGAUGAAAAUGACAGUACCAUAAGAAUAAGGUCCGGCUAAAUACGUGCCAGCAGCCGCGGUAAUACGUAUGGACCGAGCGUUGUCCGGAAUCAUUGGGCGUAAAGGGUACGUAGGCGGCCCAGUAAGUUAGAAGUGAAAUAAUAUAGCUCAACUAUAUAAAGCUUUUAAAACUGCUAGGCUUGAGAGAUGGAAGGGAAAGUGGAAUUCCUAGUGUAGCGGUGAAAUGCGCAGAUAUUAGGAGGAAUACCGGUGGCGAAGGCGACUUGCUGGACUUCAACUGACGCUGAGGAACGAAAGCGUGGGUAGCAAACAGG